rnacentral:tRNA from 1 species
GUCCCCGUAGCUUAACAACAAAGCAUAGCACUGAAGAUGCUAAGAUGGCUAUUUACCCACCCGGGGACA